AGUCAGACCACACGAGAUAAGUUGGGUGGUCAAAAGGGAAAGAGCCCAGACCUGCAGCUAAGGUCCCCAAGUUCGUGUUAAGUGGAAAAGGAUGUGGGAUCUCGAAGACAACUAGGAUGUUGGCUCAGAAGCAGCCAUACAUUCAAAGAGUGCGUAAUAGCUCACUAGUCGAGAGGUCCUGCGCCGAAAAUGAACCGGGGCUAAACACGACACCGAAGCUCAGGAAUCCGAAAGGAUUGGUAGAGGAGCAUUGCUGAAGCGACGAAGCAGUACCGAAAGGAGCUGUGGAGUUUCAGGAAGAGAGAAUGCCGGAAUGAGUAGCGAGAGAAAGGUGAGAAUCCUUUCGGCCGAAUAUCCAAGGUUUCCAGGGUAAAGCUGAUCUGCCCUGGGUAAGUCGGGGCCUAAGGCGAGGCAGAAAUGCGUAGUCGAUGGACAGCAGGUUGAGAUUCCUGCACCCGUAAUGAACAGAACUGUAGUGACACGGAAGGUAAGACAGAGCCGGGAAUGAGAAAACCGGUGCAAGCACAAUAGAUGUGCGGGAGGAAAAACCCCCGCAUAAGUCGAAGGUGUGAUGCGGACCGAAAAAGAGUAGGGAAGCUGUUAAGCAAGCCGUCAAGAAAAGCUGCUAUUGUUUCAUUAUGGCCCGUACCGUAAACCGACACAGGUGGAUGGGGAGAGAAUCCUAAGGCCGGCGGAAGAAGUAUUGUUAAGGAACUCGGCAAAAUGACCCCGUAACUUCGGGAGAAGGGGUGCCUGCGAGAGCAGGCCGCAGAGAAGAGGCCCAAGCAACUGUUUAGCAAAAACACAGGUCUAUGCAAAACCGAAAGGUGAGGUAUAUGGGCUGACGCCUGCCCGGUGCUGGAAGGUUAAGGGGAGUGGUCAGGAAACGAAGCCACGAACUUAAGCCCCAGUAAACGGCGGCCGUAACUAUAACGGUCCUAAGGUAGCGAAAUUCCUUGUCGGGUAAGUUCCGACCCGCACGAAAGGCGUAAUGAUUUGGGCGCUGUCUCGACAAUACAUCCGGUGAAAUUGAAGUGCCAGUGAAGAUGCUGGCUACCUGCGCCAGGACGGAAAGACCCCAUGGAGCUUUACUCCAGCUUGAUACUGGGACCCGGUAUUGCAUGUACAGGAUAGGUGGGAGGCAAAGAGAUGUGGACGCCAGUCUGCAUGGAGCCGCUGUUGGGAUACCACCCUUGUGGUGCUGGGUUUCUAACCAGAGGCCGUGAACCGGUCUGGGGACAAUGUCAGGUGGGGAGUUUGACUGGGGCGGUCGCCUCCGAAAGGGUAUCGGAGGCGCCCAAAGGUUCCCUCAGAAUGGUUGGAAACCAUUCGAAGAGUGCAAAGGCAGAAGGGAGCUUGACUGCGACACCGACGGGUGGAGCAGGUACGAAAGUAGGGCUUAGUGAUCCGGUGGAAUUUAAGUGGGAAUGCCAUCGCUCAACGGAUAAAAGCUACCCUGGGGAUAACAGGCUGAUCACUCCCAAGAGUUCACAUCGACGGAGUGGUUUGGCACCUCGAUGUCGGCUCAUCGCAUCCUGGGGCUGAAGUCGGUCCCAAGGGUUGGGCUGUUCGCCCAUUAAAGCGGUACGCGAGCUGGGUUCAGAACGUCGUGAGACAGUUCGGUCCCUAUCCGGCGUGGGCGUAGGAUAUUU
rnacentral:rRNA from 1 species